GAUGAACGCUGGCGGCGUGCCUAAUACAUGCAAGUCGAGCGAACGGACGAGAAGCUUGCUUUUCUGAUGUUAGCGGCGGACGGGUGAGUAACACGUGGAUAACCUACCUAUAAGACUGGGAUAACUUCGGGAAACCGGAGCUAAUACCGGAUAAUAUUUUGAACCGCAUGGUUCAAAAGUGAAAGACGGUCUUGCUGUCACUUAUAGAUGGAUCCGCGCUGCAUUAGCUAGUUGGUAAGGUAACGGCUUACCAAGGCAACGAUGCAUAGCCGACCUGAGAGGAGGAUCAGACACACGAGAACUGAGACACGGUCCAGACUCUGACGGGAGGCAGCCGUAGGGAAUCGUCCGCGAUGGGCGAAAGCCUGACGGAGUAACGCCACGUGAGUCAUGAAGGUCUUCGGAUCGGAAAACUCUGUUAUUAGGGAAGAACAUAUGUGUAAGUAUCUGUGCACAUCUUGACGGUACCUAAUCAGAAAGCCACGGCUAACUACGUG
rnacentral:rRNA from 1 species